rnacentral:rRNA from 1 species
GGUUAGCGACUAGCGUACACGGUGAGAGAUGCCGGCAGUCAGAGGCGAUGAAGGGCAUUAAUCUGCGAUAUAGCGCCGGUAAGGUGAAACGAACCGUUAUAACCGGCGUACCCGAAUGGGAAGCAGUGACUCGUCACACUAUCAUUAACGAAUCCCAUAGGUUAAUGAAGAGGCGGAGCAGGGGGCAGAAGCAUACAAGUACCCCGAGGAAAAGAAAUCAACGAAUUCCCAGCGGCGAGCGAACGAGGGAGAGCUGAAUCAGCAUGUAUUGUUAGCGAGUGGAAGCGUCUGGAAAGGAAGGCGCGCGAUACAGGAGUGACACCAGCCCCGUACACAAAAGCGCAUGUGCUGUGAGCUCGAUGGUAGGGCGGGACACGUGGUAUCCUGAUAUCACAGGCUAUGGGGGACAAUGGCAUCCUCCAAGGCUAAAUACUCCUGACACGAGCCGAUAGUGAACCAGUACCGUGAGGGAAAGGCGAAAGGCCCCGGCGAGGGGAGUGAAAAAGAACCUGAAACCGUGUACGUACAAGCAGUGGGAGCACAGGUUUUACCUGUGUGACUGCGUACCUUUGUAUAAUGGGUCAGCGACAUAUUCUGUAGCAAGUUAACCGUAUACCGGGGAGCCGGAGGAAACCGAGUCUUAACGGGCGUUAAGUUGCAGGGUAUAGACCCGAAGCAGUGAUCUAGCCAUAUGAGCGGGUUGAAGGUUGAGUAACACUAACUGGAGGACGAACCGACUAAUGUUGAAAAAGUGUUAGCGGAUGACCUGUGGCUGGGGUGAAAGGCCAGUAAACCGGGAGAUAGCUGGUUCUCCCCGAAAGCUAUUUAGGUAGCGCCUCGUGAAUUCAUCUCGGGGGUAGAGCACUGUUGUUUCGGCUGAGGGGGCCAUCCCGGCUUACCAACGAUACAGAAACUGCGAAUACCGGAGAAUGUUAUCACAGAGAACACACGGCAGUACUAACGUCGCACGUCGUGAAGAGGCACAACAGACCGCAGCUAAGGUCCCAAAGUCAUGGUUAGAGUAUAGGAAACGAUGUGCAGGAAAGGCCCGGAGCAGCGAGGAUGUUGGCUUAAGCCAUCAUUUAAAAGCGUAAUAGCUCGCACUGGUCGAGUCGGCCUGCGCGGAAGAUAUAACGAGGCUAAACCAUGCACGAAAGCCUGCAGCAGCGACAUGAUGCGUUGUUGGGUAGGGAGCGUUCUGUAAGCCUGUGAAAGGUGUGUCGUGAGCAUGCUGGAGGUAUCAGAAGUGCGAAUGCUGACAUAAGCCAACGAUAAAGCGGGUGAAAAGCCCGCUCGCCGAAGACCAAGGGUUCCUGUCCAACGUUUAAUCGGGGCAGGGUGAGUCGACCCAAAGGCGAGGCCGAAGGCGUAGUCGAUGGGGAAACGGGUUAACUAUUCCCGUACUUGGUGUUACUGCGAAGGGGACGAGGAAGAGAAACUAUAUGUUGGCCGGGCGACGGUUGUCCCGGUUUAAGCGUGUAGGUGUGUGUUCGAGGCGAAAUCCGGUUCCGCACUUUUAACACUGAGGCGUGACGACGAGGCACUACGGUGCUGAAGCAGCAAAUGCCCUGCUUCAGGAAAGCCUCUAAGCAUCAGGUAACAUCAAAUCGUACCCCAAACCGGCACAGGUGGUCAGGUAGAGAAUACCAGGCGCUUGAGAGAACUCGGUGAGAAGGAACUAGGCAAAAUGGUGCCGUAACUUCGGGAGAAGGCACGCUGACACGCUGGAGUGAAGUGAUUUACUCACAGGCUGAAGUCAGUCGAAAGAUACCAGCUGGCUGCAACUGUUUAUUAAAACACAGCACUGUGCAAAACACGAAAGUGGACGUAUACGGUUAGCUGACGCCUGCCCGGUACCCGGAAGGUUAAUUGAUGGGGUCAGCAAGCGAAACCACAAUCGAAGCGGUAAACGGCGGCGGCUAACAUAACGGUCCUAAGGUAGCGAAAUUUCCCUUGUCGGGGUAAGUUCGGUGGCCUGCACGAAUAUGGCGUAACCAUUGGCGGCUGUACCACCCGAGACUCAGUGAAAUUGAACUUUCGCUGUGAAGAUACGGUGGCACCCCGCGGCAAGACGGGAAAGACCCCGUGAAGACCUUUACUAUAGCUUGACACUGAACAUUGAGCGCUUGAUGGCCUUAGAGAUAGGUAAGGAGCUUUGAAGUGUGAGACGCCAGUCACCAUCAGAGCCGACCUUGAAAUACCAUGCCCCCAAUAACGAUAUUCCCCAACGUGGGCCCGUGAUCCCGGGUUGCGGACGAGGUGUGUCUGGUGGAGUAUUGGUUUGACUGGGGCGGUCUCCUCCUAAAGAGUAACGGAGAACUUUGAGGGUUGGCUAAUCUGGUGAGUAGGACAUCAGGAGGUUAGUGCAAUGGCAUAAGCCAGCUUGACUGCGAGCGUGACGGCGCGAGAGCAGGCUUGCGCAGGUCAUAGUGAUCCGGUGGUUCUGGAUGGAAGGGCCAUCGCUCCAGCUUGGCGGAUAAAGGUACUCCGGGGAUAACAGGCUGAUACCGCCCAGAGUUCAUAUCGACGGCGGUGUUUGCAGCUCUCGAUGUCGGCUCAUCAUCACAUCCACAGCGGGGCUGAAGUAGGUCCCCAAGGGUAUGGCUGUUCGCCAUUUAAAAGUGGUACGCGAGCUGGGUUUAAGAGCGUCGUGAGAGACAGUUCGAUUUGUAUCUGCCGUGGGCGCUGGAGAACUGAGGGGGGCUGCUCCUAGUACGGGAAGGGACCGGGUGGACGCAUCACUGGUGUUCGAGGUUUGAUAAGCAUGCCAAUGGCACUGCCCGGCAGCUAAAUGCGGAAGAGAUAAAGUGCUGAAAGCAUCUAAGCACGAAACUUGCCCCGAGAUGAGUUCUCCCUAUGAGACUUAGAGUCUCCUGAAGGAACGUUGAAGACGACGACGUUGAUAGGCCGGGUGUGUAGCGCAGCGUGUUGAAACUAGCCGGUACUAAUGAACCUGAGGGCUUAACCUU